CUACGGGUUGCAGCAGUGGGGAAUAUUGCACAAUGGGCGCAAGCCUGAUGCAGCCAUGCCGCGUGUAUGAAGAAGGCCUUCGGGUUGUAAAGUACUUUCAGCGGGGAGGAAGGGAGUAAAGCUAAUACCUUUACUCAUUGACGUUACCCGCAGAAGAAGCACCGGCUAACUCCGUGCCAGCAGCCGCGGUAAUACGGAGGGUGCAAGCGUUAAUCGGAAUUACUGGGCGUAAAGCGCACGCAGGCGGUUUGUUAAGUCAGAUGUGAAAUCCCCGGGCUCAACCUGGGAACUGCAUCUGAUACUGGCAAGCUUGAGUGUCGUAGAGGGGGGGAGAAUUCCAGGUGUAGCGGUGAAAUGCGUAGAGAUCUGGAGGAAUACCGGUGGCGAAGGCGGCCCCCUGGACGAAGACUGACGCUCAGGUGCGAAAGCGUGGGGAGCAAACAGGAUUAGAUACCCUCGUAGUC
rnacentral:rRNA from 1 species